rnacentral:other from 1 species
CGUCCUCUGCCGUGAUCGACAGCGAACACAACAUUCGCCUUGUCCCUUAAUGACGACCACGGGGAUGUGCAGGCCGUCCGGCGUGCAUGACCGCCCCGCAGCGGUAAGCCCGACGACUGCCGAGCAUUCCCACUUGAACCCCGGGUUCAAGGUCGUUGGUUCGCAUCGUCAUGGCGGAGGAUGC